rnacentral:misc_RNA from 1 species
AAGUCGUAACAAGGUCUCCGUAGGUGAACCUGCGGAGGGAUCAUUAACACGUAUCCAAACGUAUCAAACCAAACUCGUGAACCUAUAGCAUCCCAUUGUAGUGAUUGAUGUAUUCGUAAGCCAUCCAGGUGGAUUUCUCUUUAUGCAAAUAAAGAGAACUGCUUACAAUCUAUCGAUCCUCCGAGAUCAGUCAGUUCUACAAUGGUGUAUUCUCAAGCCACCUGGUUAUAUGUGCCAAACCGGUCUCGACCCGGAGCCAUAUAACCGUAUUACUCCAAUAUUUUUAACCCCUUUCUGUUAUAACUAACUGAAACUAUAACUUUACUUCAUUAAUUUGAGUAAAGAUGUAUACGAAACGCGAACAACUCUUAGCAACGGAUAUCUUGGUUCUC